rnacentral:rRNA from 1 species
AACCAGCACCUCAAGUGGACAGGAGGCUUAUUGGGCCUAAAGCAUCCGUAGCCGGCUCUGCAAGUUUUCGGUUAAAUCCACUUGCUCAACAAAUGGGCUGCCGAAAAUACUACAUAGCUAGGGAGUGGGAGAGGUAGACGGUAUUCGGUAGGAAGGCGUAAAAUCCUUUGAUCUAUUGGGACCACCUAUGGCGAAGGCAGUCUACCAGAACACGUUCGACGGUGGGGGAUGAAAGCGGGGGGAGCAAACCGG